rnacentral:lncRNA from 1 species
UGAAGGUGAAAAAAAAAGCUCAGAAAAAAAGAAUGAGGUAGAGAGAGAAGAAUCAGUGGGAUUUCUUCAAAGGGUUGUUGCCCCUUCUCUCUCUAACCUAUGAUUUCUUCCUCAGUCAGAAAAAUUCAACAACCCUUAACAAAUAAAUAAAUAUAUAUAUAUAUAUACAAAAAGCUGUGGAUCUGUAAUUUAUCCACACGCCAAAACACACACACACAGAUUCAACAACAGAGAAACAGAGAGAGAGAAAGAGAGAGAUUCAAUGCUUGUUCAGUAUCAGUUCCUUUCAUCCAAACGGAACCUUAAUCGAUGAGGCUGUGAUGAUAUUUCUCCGUUUAUUUUUUCUGAGCUUUUUUUGUAGAUCCGGAGAAUGGUGAAAACCGACCCGUAUCUUGGCGGGGCAACCCGGAUGGCGUAUGAGAUCUGAGAGGGGGGGUUUGUUUCUCUCUCUCUUUCGGUCUUGUAUGCAACCGGUUGUUUGCAGCCAUGGCGUGGUGGCGUUUCUCUUCUCCGACCUUCAAUCAGAUCUGAGCCUCAUUUUAUUUUUUUUAUUUAUUUUAAUUUUUUAAAAUUUAAAAUUGGAAAAAAAACAUUUAAUCUGAUUUAAUUUUUAUAUUGUUAUUCUUUUGUCAAAAUUAUAUUUUAUAUAUAUAUUUACUACAAUUUGUUCCUCGAUCUGAAAUUGGUUGAGAUGAUUUAUUAUUUUAACCUAAUAAAUUCAGAAACAUUUCUGCAAUUCCUUGAAAAUAACUUGACCCGUUUACAAAAUCGGAUCAUGCGCCGGCGUGUGGAAAUAAAACAAGAAUAGAGGGGCAAAAAAGGUAAAAACCAGUGUCGAAAUUAAUCUAAACAAAAUAAAGAGAAAAUUGUAAAUAAACAUUACUUUAAUUUGUUUGUCGACUUCAGACCACCAUCAACUUGAUCCUAUGCUUAUAAAUAACUUAAUCAUUAUUAGAGGUAGAUUACUUAUUUCUUAAUCAUUCUGAAUGUAUUUACAAAAUUAUCUCUAUUUUUAUCGAUUGUUGGAGCAUAACACGUGUGGGACGCAUGUAGCAUCCUACCUAUUUAUUUGUUUAAUAUUUUAUUAGUUCUCGUGAGCUAAUUGGAAGACGAAUUAAAGUGAUUUUUGUUUAAACUAUAUUUGACCACAUCGACAAACAAUUGAUACAAUGUUGGUUAAUGAGUUAAAAUUGUAACGUUUAGUUAAAAGAGGGUUUUGUAAUAUUUUUAAAAUACGAGAGGUCUUUCUGUGAUUACAUUUAAUUUAAGAGGG